rnacentral:snoRNA from 1 species
AUCAGCUUGAAAUAGUUUGCGAUUAUCUUUAUUAACUUUCGGAACGUAUAGUUAAUGCCCCAACCGGGGAGGGUGUGGAGAAAGCUUCGCUCUCGAUGAAGCUCCCUGCAAGCGUUGGGGUAACACCAUGUCGCAUGGUCCCCGAGCGAGAGGGGAGCAAAUGCUCCGUCUAUGACCUUGGGGCAACCCCGACAUGGGACAGCCCCGAACGGUCAGCCAUCCCGAGGUGGCGCGAGCCUGCGAUGAGGGAUGGUGUUAGCUUCGGGGGACAUUCUG